UCAGGACGAAACGCCGGCGGCGUCCUUCAACACACGCAAGUCGAACGACGAAGCUUCGCCUGCUCAGGCGGAUACGCGGCGAAACGGGCGAGUAAUCCGUCGAGCGACUCUCCCUUUCGACUCCGGGAUAAGCCCGGGAAACUGGGUCUAAUACCGGAUACGACCAAUCUCCGCACGGGGUCGUUGGCGGAAAAGCGUUAUGGAGUCGGUUUUUAGAUGGGCUCACGGCCUAUCAGCUUGUUGGUGAGGUAAUGGCUUACCAAGGCGACGACGGGUAGCCGGCCUGAGAGGGUGACCGGCCACACUGGGACUGAGACACGGCCCAGACUCCUACGGGAGGCAGCAGUGGGGAAUAUUGCACAAUGGGCGCAAGCCUGAUGCAGCGACGCCGCGUGAGGGAUGACGGCCUUCGGGUUGUAAACCUCUGUUAGCAUCGAAGAAGCGAAAGUGACGGUAGGUGCAGAGAAAGCGCCGGCUAACUACGUGCCAGCAGCCGCGGUAAUACGUAGGGCGCGAGCGUUGUCCGGAAUUAUUGGGCGUAAAGAGCUUGUAGGCGGUUGGUCGCGUCUGCUGUGAAAGGCUGGGGCUUAACCCUGGUUUUGCAGUGGGUACGGGCUAACUAGAGUGCAGUAGGGGAGACUGGAAUUCCUGGUGUAGCGGUGGAAUGCGCAGAUAUCAGGAGGAACACCGAUGGCGAAGGCAGGUCUCUGGGCUGUAACUGACGCUGAGAAGCGAAAGCAUGGGGAGCGAACAGGAUUAGAUACCCUGGUAGUCCAUGCCGUAAACGUUGGGCACUAGGUGUGGGGGACAUUCCACGUUUUCCGCGCCGUAGCUAACGCAUUAAGUGCCCCGCCUGGGGAGUACGGCCGCAAGGCUAAAACUCAAAGAAAUUGACGGGGGCCCGCACAAGCGGCGGAGCAUGCGGAUUAAUUCGAUGCAACGCGAAGAACCUUACCAAGGCUUGACAUAUACUGGACUGCGUCAGAGAUGGCGUUUCCCUUCGGGGCUGGUAUACAGGUGGUGCAUGGUUGUCGUCAGCUCGUGUCGUGAGAUGUUGGGUUAAGUCCCGCAACGAGCGCAACCCUCGUUCUAUGUUGCCAGCACGUGAUGGUGGGGACUCAUAGGAGACUGCCGGGGUCAAACUCGGAGGAAGGUGGGGAUGACGUCAAAUCAUCAUGCCCCUUAUGUCUUGGGCUUCACGCAUGCUACAAUGGCCGGUACAGAGGGUUGCGAUACUGUGAAGUGGAGCUAAUCCCUAAAAGCCGGUCUCAGUUCGGAUUGGGGUUCUGCAAACUCGACCCCAUGAAAGUCGGAGUCGCUAGUAAUCGCAGAAUCAGCAACGCUGCGGUGAAUACGUUUCCCGGGCCUUGUACACACCGCCCGUCA
rnacentral:rRNA from 1 species